rnacentral:rRNA from 1 species
AUUGAACGCUGGCGGAAUGCUUUACACAUGCAAGUCGAACGGCAGCACGGGGGCAACCCUGGUGGCGAGUGGCGAACGGGUGAGUAAUACAUCGGAACGUGCCCAGUCGUGGGGGAUAACGCAGCGAAAGCUGUGCUAAUACCGCAUACGAUCUAAGGAUGAAAGCGGGGGACCGUAAGGCCUCGCGCGAUUGGAGCGGCCGAUGGCAGAUUAGGUAGUUGGUGGGGUAAAGGCNCACCAAGCCGACGAUCUGUAGCUGGUCUGAGAGGACGACCAGCCACACUGGGACUGAGACACGGCCAGACUCCUACGGGAGGCAGCAGUGGGGAAUUUUGGACAAUGGGCGCAAGCCUGAUCCAGCCA